GAUUAACGCUGGCGGCGUGCCUAACACAUGCAAGUCGAACGAGGUAGCAAUACCUAGUGGCAGACGGGUGAGUAACGCGUGGUCAACCUACCCUAGAGUGGGGAGUAACUAGCCGAAGGUUAGCUAAUACCGCAUGAACGUGCCGGGGCGAUCUCGGAAUGUUGAAAGGAGCAAUCCGCUCAAGGACGGGACCGCGUCCCAUUAGCUAGUUGGUGGGGUAACGGCCUACCAAGGCACCGAGGGUAGCUGGUUUGAGAGAGCGACCAGCCACACUGGGACUGAGAAACGGCCCAGACUCCUACGGGAGGCAGCAGUGAGGAAUUUUCCGCAAUGGGCGAAAGCCUGACGGAGCGACGCCGCGUGU
rnacentral:rRNA from 1 species